rnacentral:rRNA from 1 species
GUCAGGCUGCAACUCGCCUGCAUGAAGUCGGAAUUGCUGUAAUCGCGGAUCAGCAUGCCGCGGUGAAUACGUUCCCGGGCCUUGUACACACCGCCCGUCACACCAUGAGAGCCGGUAACACCCGAAGUCAGUAGUCUAACCGCAAGGGGGACGCUGCCGAAGGUGGGGCUGGUGAUUGGGGUGAAGUCGUAACAAGGUAUC